rnacentral:rRNA from 1 species
AUUGAACGCUGGCGGCAGGCUUAACACAUGCAAGUCGAACGAGCGGCGGACGGGUGAGUAAUGCUUGGGAAUCUGGCUGAUGGAGGGGGAUAACUACUGGAAACUGUAGCUAAUACCGCAUACCAUAGGAUGAGCCCAAGUGGGAUUAGGUAGUUGGUGAGGUAAAGGCUCACCAAGCCGACGAUCUCUAGCUGGUCUGAGAGGAUGACCAGCCACACUGGGACUGAGACACGGACCAGACUCCUACGGGAGGCAGCAGUGGGGAAUAUUGCGCAAUGGGGGCAACCUGAUGCAGCCAUGCCGCGGGAAUGAAGAAGGCCUUCGGGUUGUAAAGUACUUUCGGUAGGGAGGCGUUAACUGCAGAAGAAGCACCGGCUAACUCCGUGCCAGCAGCCGCGGUAAUUC